rnacentral:rRNA from 1 species
AUUGAACGCUGGCGGCAUGCCUUACACAUGCAAGUCGAACGGCAGCGGACCUUCGGGUGCCGGCGAGUGGCGAACGGGUGAGUAAUAUAUCGGAACGUACCUUUCAGUGGGGGAUAACGUAGCGAAAGUUACGCUAAUACCGCAUAUUCUGUGAGCAGGAAAGCAGGGGAUCGCAAGACCUUGCGCUGAUUGAGCGGCCGAUAUCAGAUUAGCUAGUUGGUGAGGUAAAGGCUCACCAAGGCGACGAUCUGUAGCGGGUCUGAGAGGAUGAUCCGCCACACUGGAACUGAGACACGGUCCAGACUCCUACGGGAGGCAGCAGUGGGGAAUUUUGGACAAUGGGCGCAAGCCUGAUCCAGCCAUGCCGCGUGAGUGAAGAAGGCCUCGGUUGUAAGACUCUUUCGG